CCCUUUACCACCCCCUGGUGGAUCACUCAAGAGUCAAUCCCAGGUUUUUCUCUUAGCUUGAUUUCUCACUUUGCCGGGAUACAUCCUCAAGUAACUAUCCGAGAACAGAUGCAUGGGGAGGAUGGGUUUCUGUAUUCUGAGUCCUUGGAGAUCUAACAGUAUCUUUUUUCUGCCCCGUGCUUGAUUCAUCAUUUGGCCUAGUGUAGAAAACAAGGUUCGAAAUGAUUUCCCAAUCAUCUUCUUACAACCACUGCUACUGAUGGGGAUCGGAUGCACUGCAGUUCUCGGCCUUUGCAGUGAACAUUUUAUUUUUACCAUCUUUGAAAUCUGUCAGCCGAUCUUACGCCCUGUCACUCUGCAUUUUCUUUCAGUAUCCCCUACACGCCGUGUCUCGAGACUCAACCCCGCUGAGCUCUGGGGUCGUAGCUGCAGCUGCUUCGGCACUCCAAGACCAGAGAGGAAGCAAAGGCAGAGCUGCUCAGCCAGGCGUAUCUGCUUUGGCCUUGCAGGAAUCGUCGCCCACUGAGCUUCUGUCCAAACCUCAGUGGAUCAUAAUCUAAGUUUGGCAAACACUGAGCCGGGAGGAGUCAUGUCUGCGGGGCCCCAAGAGUCCCUGAAUUUGGGUCCUGAUCACCCUGCUCCACCCAGUCGAGUUGGCACAUGCACUCAGCCCAUAAGGAAAAAGGGAAGGAAGGAAGGGAGGGAGGGAAGGAGGAAAGGAAAGAAGGAAGGAAAGGAGGGAGAGAGGGAAGAAAGGAAGGGAGGGAGGGAGGGGGGAAGCGAGCGCCUCCACCAUCGUAGGCAGGACCAGUGAGAGCUGAACGGGGCUGCGCAGCUAGGUACCACUCUGGGACUCUGGGGUUUCUUAGGGGAUGACUUGUUUCUGGGGUCCAGGUAAGAGGAAUUCAGGGUCACACAUCCAAGGAUGUGAGUCCAUGGGGCAGCUGGGCCCCUCUGAGCCCCUCUGUGUCCUGGUCUCCUCUAAAUGCAGAUGAUGAUGAGAAUCCACGCCCAGCCCACGGCUUGGCCAGUCUCCGGAAGAGUGUGUUUCCUACAGCGCUCAGUGCAGCAGGAGGUACGCAGGGUGGAAGUGCUUUGCGUUCAUGUGGGACUUUUGGCCCU
rnacentral:lncRNA from 1 species